rnacentral:rRNA from 1 species
AUGGCUAUGGAUUUCCCGGUCUCGCCAGUUGACAAGCUGCCAAUCUUCACCAACGAGGCGGCAAGCGCUGCGGCGCUAAUGGAGUUGAUUGGUCCCUGGGGGCGCGGAGACGAUGUAUCGGCCAAUGGAUCCAGGGGGGCUGUGGGCGGUGGAUUUGGUCAAGGGUCAUAUGGGCAGAUGUUGAAUGGUGCGGCGUGCAGCGAGGAGAGAACUGUAGCUGGUGGUGGUGCCGCCAUGUCCGGGUUCAGCGAGAGCGAGGGUGACAAUGGAGAAGCUCUUGAUGAGGCGGAGGGGGAAGCACACUUUGAUGGAGACCAAGAGGAUGUGAUUCAGGAUCAAACUGAUAGUGCUGAUGGAUGUUCUGCUCAAUCUACAGGCAAUGUGGAUCCGCAACCACCUGGCUGGACAAAAAGAGUAAGAGUCGGCAAUCAACCGCCAGACAGGGCUCCAUGCCCGGAAAGGGUAGGCGCUGAUGCAGUUUCCUCAUAG